GCUUUCCUACGGGACGCAGCAGUGGGGAAUAUUGCGCAAUGGGCGAAAGCCUGACGCAGCGACGCCGCGUGAGGGAUGAAGGUCUUCGGAUCGUAAACCUCUGUCAGCAGGGAAGAACGGUCACUGUGCUAAUCAGCAGUGAAUUGACGGUACCUGCAAAGGAAGCACCGGCUAACUCCGUGCCAGCAGCCGCGGUAAUACGGAGGAUGCGAGCGUUAUCCGGAUUUAUUGGGUUUAAAGGGUGCGUAGGCGGGCUGUUAAGUCAGCGGUAAAAGCCCGGGGCUCAACCCCGGCGAGCCGUUGAA
rnacentral:rRNA from 1 species